UUCGCAAUGCCCGAAAGGGUGACAAUGCGACGCCGCGUGUGUGAUGAAGGCCUUCGGGUUGUAAAGCCCUGUCUCCUGGGAAGAAUGGCGGGAGGUGAAUAGCCAUCUCGUCGGACGCUACCAGGGAAGGAAGCACCGGCUAAAUACGUGCCAGCAGCCGCGGUAAUACGUAUGGUGCGAACGUUGUUCGGAAUCACUGGGCAUAAAGAGCACGUAGGCGGCUGAGCAAGUCCAUUGUGAAAUCCCCCGGCUUAACCGGGGAACUGCAGUGGAUACUACUUGACUUGAGUGCGGGAGGGGAGAGUGGAAUUCCAGGUGGAGCGGUGAAAUGCGUAGAUAUCUGGAGGAACGCCGGCGGCGAAAGCGACUCUCUGGCCUGUUACUGACGCUGAGGCGCGAAAGCUAGGGGAGCAAACGGGAUUAGAUACCCCGGUAGUCCUAGCCCUAAACGAUGGGCACUAAGUAGAGGGGUUUU
rnacentral:rRNA from 1 species